UACGUAGGGGGCAAGCGUUAUCCGGAAUUAUUGGGCGUAAAGGGUGCGUAGGUGGCUCUGUAAGCGAGGGGUGAAAGGCAAUGGCUCAACCAUUGUUAGCCUUUCGAACUGUGGAGCUUGAGUGCAGGAGAGGAAAGCGGAAUUCCUAGUGUAGCGGUGAAAUGCGUAGAUAUUAGGAGGAACACCGGUGGCGAAGGCGGCUUUCUGGACUGUAACUGACACUGAGGCACGAAAGCGUGGGGAGCAAACAGGAUUAGAUACCCUGGUAGUCCACGCCGUAAACGAUGAGCACUAGGUGU
rnacentral:rRNA from 1 species